CCUACGGGAGGCAGCAGUAAGGAAUAUUGGUCAAUGGACGAAAGUCUGAACCAGCCAUGCCGCGUGAAGGAUUAAGGCCCUCUGGGUUGUAAACUUCUUUUAUCUGGGACGAAAAAAGGGUAUUCUUACUCACUUGACGGUACCAGAGGAAUAAGCACCGGCUAACUCCGUGCCAGCAGCCGCGGUAAUACGGAGGGUGCAAGCGUUAUCCGGAUUUACUGGGUUUAAAGGGUGCGUAGGUGGGCUUGUAAGUCAGUGGUGAAAUCUCCGGGCUUUAACCCGGAAACUGCCAUUGAUACUAUAGGUCUUGAAUUAUCUGGAGGUAAGCGGAAUAUGUCAUGUAGCGGUGAAAUGCUUAGAUAUGACAUAGAACACCAAUUGCGAAGGCAGCUUACUACGGAUAUAUUGACACUGAGGCACGAAAGCGUGGGGAUCAAACAGGAUUAGAUACCCUGGUAGUCCACGCCCUAAACGAUGGAUACUCGACAUCAGCGAUACACUGUUGGUGUCUGAGNGAAGANAUAAGUAUACCACCUGGAAGUAGANCGCAGAGUAGAACUACAAAUAGAAGUUAGUACGGCGUGAGACGUAGCCGAACGGACGACCGACCGAGGGGAGGUUAGGGAGG
rnacentral:rRNA from 1 species